rnacentral:lncRNA from 1 species
GCCAGGCUUCCCUGGCUUCCUGCAGACAUGGGUGCCUGGCAGGCUGCCCUGCCCGUGUCCUUGCGAUCCCCAGUCCGACCCUGCGAUCUGGUGGGCUGUUCUGAUCCUGAGCUUUCUCGUGCGGGCGUGAAGGUGGCCUCCAUGUGGUCGGGCUGAUCGUGUCCUGUCCACAUGGGCCACUGAAUACGAUGAAGCGUGGACGGGGCUCUGAGCUCAGGGUCUGCUGGCUCCGGCAGAAGCCAGUUCAAGAUGGAAGGGGUCUGUCCUCACCAUAGUCCUGGCACGUGCUCGCCGGCUCACCGAGAUGCCCCGCAGCACCGUCCACGUGGCAGGCACCUGAGCAGGAGGGAGACUCUCUCUUGCCUUGGACCACAGCCUCCCAGUGCCCCGGACGCCUCAUCUGCGGAGCGGGGGCUCCGAUCUGGGAUGAAAACAUCAGAGUCCAAGUGACUUCCCGCGGGAAUCAUCAGCACAGAAUCCGGAUUCUGGCCCAGAAAUUGCCAUCUCCUGCCACGGUGACCUGAAGACUUUCACUUUGCAGAAAGGCACGCAGCCGAGGCCGCCGAUGCUGUGUCCACCAGACGGAGAGCGGUUUCCUCUCCCAGAUCUCCUCAUAGGAGCCCCGAUCCUGGGCAUGGGGGCUGAGCGCACGACCUAAUCACCUCCGAGGGCCAUCACAUCGGGCGCCAGCACCUGUGGACAAGCACCCCUGUUCUGUGAGUUUUGUGGGUCUGGGCCAUGUGGUGCUGUCCCGAAUGCCUCCC